CACUAUCGUUAACUGAAUACAUAGGUUAACGAGGCGAACCGGGGGAACUGAAACAUCUAAGUACCCCGAGGAAAAGAAAUCAACCGAGAUUCCCCCAGUAGCGGCGAGCGAACGGGGAGCAGCCCAGAGUCUGAAUCAGCUUGUGUGUUAGUGGAACGGUCUGGAAAGUCCGACGGUACAGGGUGAUAGUCCCGUACACCAAAAUGCACAGGCUGUGAACUCGAAGAGUAGGGCGGGACACGUGGUAUCCUGUCUGAAUAUGGGGGGACCAUCCUCCAAGGCUAAAUACUCCUGACUGACCGAUAGUGAACCAGUACCGUGAGGGAAAGGCGAAAAGAACCCCGGCGAGGGGAGUGAAAAAGAACCUGAAACCGUGUACGUACAAGCAGUGGGAGCACCUUCGGGUGUGACUGCGUACCUUUUGUAUAAUGGGUCAGCGACUUAUAUUCUGUAGCAAGGUUAACCGUAUAGGGGAGCCGCAGGGAAACCGAGUCUUAACUGGGCGUUAAGUUGCAGGGUAUAGACCCGAAACCCGGUGAUCUAGCCAUGGGCAGGUUGAAGGUUGGGUAACACUAACUGGAGGACCGAACCGACUAAUGUUGAAAAAUUAGCGGAUGACUUGUGGCUGGGGGUGAAAGGCCAAUCAAACCGGGAGAUAGCUGGUUCUCCCCGAAAGCUAUUUAGGUAGCGCCUCGUGAAUUCAUCUUCGGGGGUAGAGCACUGUUUCGGCUAGGGGGUCAUCCCGACUUACCAACCCGAUGCAAACUACGAAUACCGAAGAAUGUUAUCACGGGAGACACACGGCGGGUGCUAACGUCCGUCGUGAAGAGGGAAACAACCCAGACCGCCAGCUAAGGUCCCAAAGUCAUGGUUAAGUGGGAAACGAUGUGGGAAGGCACAGACAGCCAGGAUGUUGGCUUAGAAGCAGCCAUCAUUUAAAGAAAGCGUAAUAGCUCACUGGUCGAGUCGGCCUGCGCGGAAGAUGUAACGGGGCUAAACCAUGCACCGAAGCUGCGGCAGCGACACUAUGUGUUGUUGGGUAGGGGAGCGUUCUGUAAGCCUGCGAAGGUGACCUGUGAGGGUUGCUGGAGGUAUCAGAAGUGCGAAUGCUGACAUAAGUAACGAUAAAGCGGGUGAAAAGCCCGCUCGCCGGAAGACCAAGGGUUCCUGUCCAACGUUAAUCGGGGCAGGGUGAGUCGACCCCUAAGGCGAGGCCGAAAGGCGUAGUCGAUGGGAAACAGGUUAAUAUUCCUGUACUUGGUGUUACUGCGAAGGGGGGACGGAGAAGGCUAUGUUAGCCGGGCGACGGUUGUCCCGGUUUAAGCAUGUAGGCUGAUUGUCCAGGCAAAUCCGGAUAAUCAAGGCUGAGGUGUGAUGACGAGGCACUACGGUGCUGAAGUAACAAAUGCCCUGCUUCCAGGAAAAGCCUCUAAGCAUCAGGUAACAUCAAAUCGUACCCCAAACCGACACAGGUGGUCAGGUAGAGAAUACCAAGGCGCUUGAGAGAACUCGGGUGAAGGAACUAGGCAAAAUGGUGCCGUAACUUCGGGAGAAGGCACGCUGGUGUGUAGGUGAAGCCCCUGCGGGUGGAGCUGAGACCAGUCGAAGAUACCAGCUGGCUGCAACUGUUUAUUAAAAACACAGCACUGUGCAAACACGAAAGUGGACGUAUACGGUGUGACGCCUGCCCGGUGCCGGAAGGUUAAUUGAUGGGGUUAUCCGUAAGGAGAAGCUCUUGAUCGAAGCCCCGGUAAACGGCGGCCGUAACUAUAACGGUCCUAAGGUAGCGAAAUUCCUUGUCGGGUAAGUUCCGACCUGCACGAAUGGCGUAAUGAUGGCCAGGCUGUCUCCACCCGAGACUCAGUGAAAUUGAACUCGCUGUGAAGAUGCAGUGUACCCGCGGCAAGACGGAAAGACCCCGUGAACCUUUACUAUAGCUUGACACUGAACAUUGAGCCUUGAUGUGUAGGAUAGGUGGGAGGCUUUGAAGCGUGGACGCCAGUCUGCGUGGAGCCAACCUUGAAAUACCACCCUUUAAUGUUUGAUGUUCUAACGUUGGCCCCUUACCGGGGUUGCGGACAGUGUCUGGUGGGUAGUUUGACUGGGGCGGUCUCCUCCCAAAGCGUAACGGAGGAGCACGAAGGUUAGCUAAUCCUGGUCGGACAUCAGGAGGUUAGUGCAAUGGCAUAAGCUAGCUUGACUGCGAGCGUGACGGCGCGAGCAGGUGCGAAAGCAGGUCAUAGUGAUCCGGUGGUUCUGAAUGGAAGGGCCAUCGCUCAACGGAUAAAAGGUACUCCGGGGAUAACAGGCUGAUACCGCCCAAGAGUUCAUAUCGACGGCGGUGUUUGGCACCUCGAUGUCGGCUCAUCACAUCCUGGGGCUGAAGUAGGUCCCAAGGGUAUGGCUGUUCGCCAUUUAAAGUGGUACGCGAGCUGGGUUUAGAACGUCGUGAGACAGUUCGGUCCCUAUCUGCCGUGGGCGCUGGAGAAUUGAGGGGGGCUGCUCCUAGUACGAGAGGACCGGAGUGGACGCAUCACUGGUGUUCGGGUUGUCAUGCCAAUGGCACUGCCCGGUAGCUAAAUGCGGAAGAGAUAAGUGCUGAAAGCAUCUAAGCACGAAACUUGCCCCGAGAUGAGUUCUCCCUGAGACUUUAAGUCUCCUGAAGGAACGUUGAAGACGACGACGUUGAUAGGCCGGGUGUGUAAGCGCAGCGAUGCGUUGAGCUAACCGGUACUAAUGAACCGUGAGGCUUAACCUU
rnacentral:rRNA from 1 species